AGUGUUUUGCAGUUGAACGAUUAAAAUUGGAGAAUUAUUGAGAGUUUGCAACCCCCGUAAUCGUAGACUUCAGAAUUUUUAACGACACUCAGACACGUGACGCAAUUUGAUUAUAUCGCUUUUUGCUCUUCAUCUCAUAAGCAACUGUUGCAAACAAUCCAUAAUCAUAUGCAAGGAUGGUUUUUGAAAAUAAUUUCGGCAAAGAUUAUUCCAGCAUAUCUAAACACGAACUACUAUUGCAUGCUUGUAACAACAAAAGACAUCUUGACGAAAAUUUGCGAAACCUAACUGAAUAUUUUAUUUAUGUGCAUAUCGACAGUACUCAGAAGACCAUGAAUCAUUCAUUUGUGAAUACAAGUAGCAUUGAAAAAUUCAAAGAUUUAUGUAACGAAGAUAUUAUGGGCAAAAAUUUUCCCAUCACUCAUGUCAUAAAUAAAUUUUAUUUUGUUUUUGAGCUGUACCAUGCGAUUGUAAAUAGUUCGAACGCUAAUUCAAAUAUCAGAAAGUACUGUUUGCCGAUUUUUAUUAUUCUCGGUCUUUUAGGAAACUGUUUGUCUGCUAUUGUACUUUUCCGUAAAAAGAUGCGUUCUUUCUCGUCCAACAUCUACUUGGGCGUGCUAGCAAUGAGCGACAUCGUCUAUUUGAUGUUAUCACUCAUUAAUUGGCUCCAAAUAAUGGAUAUAAAACUAAUAACAAAUUAUUUGUAUUACUUAAUUUUCUUCAAAGACUUUCUGUUCUUCUUUUCCGAGUUUUUGAGUGUGUGGCUUAUAGUAGCCUUUACCAUCGAGAGAUUUAUAGUGACAAAGUAUCCGCUUCUACGUCGAUCCUGGUGCACUGUCAAACGAGCAAAAAUCGUAGCAAUCACGCUGAUGGGACUAGCUAUUUUACGCAGCAUUCUACAUAUUUUUUAUAUGUAUAGGACCAUGCGCUAUGAAAUGUUUAAAAGAAACGGCAAUAUCUAUGAUGUGUACAAAUAUAUAAAAUUUGACAAACAGUAUGGAUUUAGAAACACAAGGCACAUUAUAGAUUCUAUUAUAAUAUUUAUCUUACCUGCUGUCGUGUGAUAGUAAUCUGCAAUACUCUGAUAGGAUACCACAUUUACCAGCAAAAUCGUGUUCGCAAAACCUUGAUUACAGCUUCCGAUUCUACUAAUGAGAGAAUUCAGAUUUCUAAUGAUAAAAUGCUUCUGCAUAGGAUCACAAAAAUGCUUAUUCUCGUUUCGACCAUAUUUCUAAUUUUGAAAUUACCUAUAUAUUAUACUCUCCACCAUUCUAGUUACAUGGCUAAAUAUGGCAAUAUGUCUGUUGUGAUAAUAAUAUUCAAUUUAUUAGACAAUGCACAUUUCAGUAUAAAUUUUGUCCUUUACUGCGCAACUGGACAAACUUUUCGCAGAGAACUAAUACGCAUGUUUACGAAACGUACAAAUGUAAGAAAGAACAGAAAUAUUAUAGGGAUGUACAAUUAGAAGUAACAAUAUGAUUGAUGCUCAAUUAUGCAGUCAUAAUGAGCUUGCAGAUUUACGUCUAAUCGCACUUCAAACAAAACAGUGUAUUUGUUAACAACGAACAACUGAAAGUUUCUCAAGAGAAGCUAACACUCCUGACAUACACGAGAGAUUAUAAUAUACAUUUAACUUUAUAACAAUAUAAUUAAUUGCAAAUAGCUAAAUAAAAUAGCUAAACUUAUUAUUGUAUUAAAAGUAUAUUGUAUUAAAAGUAAAUUAAAAAUAACGAUCAAAAAUUCUAUGAUGCACAUAUAUGUAAGUAGUAUGUACAAUAUUUAAGCGCACCAUAAAGAAGUCAAAAAUUUUAUGUAUAUUAUUUCUAUACUCAAAGUAAACUUAUAUAACUUAGGAGAAGUGUGCAAUUAACUAUUUGAAAUAGGUGAAUUGUCACAUGGUAGAUUGUAAUUCAAUGUCAAUUUGUUAUCAUCAAUGUAAUGGACACAUCUUUCAUUACAAGAAUAUUUUCCAAAGAAGAAAAAGAACGUUCUAAAAAUGUGUUAUGUUUUAUUUAUAUGUUAUUAUAUCACAAAUUCGUAGCAGCCAGUAUAUUAAUAUAUAUGUGGGAGGGUCUCAACUGCUUACAUUCCCAUUUGCCAACAGCUUCGUUUGCCUACAACAUUUUGCCGACAGCUUCAAUUGCCGACAUUCCCGAUUGCCUACAGAGCGAUUGCCUACAAGCAUUAUUGCGCACAUUUAA